rnacentral:rRNA from 1 species
GACGAACGCUGGCGGCGUGCCUAAUACAUGCAAGUAGAACGCACAGUUUAUACCGUAGCUUGCUACACCAUAGACUGUGAGUUGCGAACGGGUGAGUAACGCGUAGGUAACCUGCCUGGUAGCGGGGGAUAACUAUUGGAAACGAUAGCUAAUACCGCAUAAUAUUAAUUAUUGCAUGAUAAUUGAUUGAACGAUGCAACUGCAUCACUACCAGAUGGACCUGCGUUGUAUUAGCUAGUAGGUGAGGUAACGGCUCACCUAGGCGACGAUACAUAGCCGACCUGAGAGGGUGAUCGGCCACACUGGGACUGAGACACGGCCCAGACUCCUACGGGAGGCAGCAGUAGGGAAUCUUCGGCAAUGGACGAAAGUCUGACCGAGCAACGCCGCGUGAGUGAAGAAGGUUUUCGGAUCGUAAAGCUCGGUUGUAAGAGAAGAACGGGUGUGAGAGUGGAAAGUUCACACUGUGACGGUAUCUUACCAGAAAGGGACGGCUAACUACGUG